CCUACGGGGGGCAACAGUAGGGAAUAUUGCUCAAUGGGGGAAACCCUGAAGCAGCAACGCCGCGUGGAGGAUGAAGGUUUUCGGAUUGUAAACUCCUUUUGUUAGAGAAGAUAAUGACGGUAUCUAACGAAUAAGCACCGGCUAACUCCGUGCCAGCAGCCGCGGUAAUACGGAGGGUGCAAGCGUUACUCGGAAUCACUGGGCGUAAAGAGCGCGUAGGCGGGAUAGCAAGUCAGGUGUGAAAUCCUAGGGCUCAACCCUGGGACUGCAUUUGAAACUGUUUAACUGGAGUAUGGGAGGGGGAGGUGGAAUUCUUGGUGUAGGGGUAAAAUGCGUAGAGAUCAAGAGGAACACGCAUGGCGAAGGCGACCUGCUAGA
rnacentral:rRNA from 1 species